UACGUAGGGUGCGAGCGUUAAUCGGAAUUACUGGGCGUAAAGCGCGUGUAGGCGGUCCGGUAAGUCCGCUGUGAAAGUCGGGGGCUCAACCCUCGAAUGCCGGUGGAUACUGUCGGGCUAGAGUGCGGAAGAGGCGAGUGGAAUUCCUGGUGUAGCGGUGAAAUGCGCAGAUAUCAGGAGGAACACCUAUUGCGAAGGCAGCUCGCUGGGACGUAACUGACGCUGAGACGCGAAAGCGUGGGGAGCAAACAGG
rnacentral:rRNA from 1 species